UACGAAGGGGGCUAGCGUUGUUCGGAAUUACUGGGCGUAAAGCGCACGUAGGCGGAUUGUUAAGUCAGAGGUGAAAUCCCGGAGCUCAACUUCAGAACUGCCUUUGAUACUGGCAAUCUAGAGUCCGGAAGAGGUUAGUGGAAUUCCCAGUGUAGAGGUGAAAUUCGUAGAUAUUGGGAAGAACACCAGUGGCGAAGGCGGCUAACUGGUCCGGUACUGACGCUGAGGUGCGAAAGCGUGGGGAGCAAACAGG
rnacentral:rRNA from 1 species